rnacentral:lncRNA from 1 species
CGAGGAGGAGAAUAUUUAUCCAAUAAAUUUUUAUAUUAUCAUAAAAAAAAAUAAAAUUCUCUCAGAGUAGACCCCUCCUUAUAUACGACAGCUAAAUGGUGUAGUAGAAAGAAAAAAUCGUACUUUAUUAGAUAUGGUACGGUCCAUGAUGUGCCUUACAGACUUGUCUAUUUUUUUUUGAAGAUAUGCCCUAGAGACUGCUG